GGACCUUUAGCUCAGUUGGUUAGAGCAGACGGCUCAUAACCGUCCGGUCGUUGUUUCGAGUCCAACAAGGUCCA
rnacentral:tRNA from 1 species